rnacentral:rRNA from 2 species
UGGCGGCACUAGCGCGGUGGUCCCACCUGACCCCAUGCCGAACUCAGAAGUGAAACGCUGUAGCGCCGAUGGUAGUGUGGGGUCUCCCCAUGCGAGAGUAGGGAACUGCCAGGCA